UACGUAGGGGGCAAGCGUUGUCCGGAAUCAUUGGGCGUAAAGCGCGUGUAGGCGGCUUGGUAAGUCCGCUCUGAAAGCCCGGGGCUCAACCCCGGGAGGCGGGUGGAUACUGUCAAGCUCGAGUCCGGAAGAGGCGAGUGGAAUUCCUGGUGUAGCGGUGAAAUGCGCAGAUAUCAGGAGGAACACCAAUGGCGAAGGCAGCUCGCUGGGACGUGACUGACGCUGAGACGCGAAAGCGUGGGGAGCAAACAGGAUUAGAUACCCGGAG
rnacentral:rRNA from 1 species